GAAACAAAACCAAGUGAAGAUUUAUGAAUUUUUUUUGGAAUGCUUUCUUAAAUAGCUUAUAUGCACUUUUUUUUCUCUUUUUCCCUUUUUUUGAGAAUUAGGGCAAGAAACCAGAUUAAAGUUUGGGUGAGGGUGGGACGUGAACCCAAGUCAUUGAUAUCAACCUCCAAUGACUUUACCAACUCUAUUGGAGGGUAUGCUCUUGAAAGGUGUGAAUUCCAAGAGAGUUUAGGCCCAUAUCCAAUUCCAUUAUUUUCCAGAACUGAAUGGAGUAGGUAGAUUGUAGUCCAAAUCAAUUUAGAUCUAAUUUUCUUGGUCAGAUAUUACGUUCUUUUUUCUGUAUACUGUGCUUUGUUUGAGAUUCCUAAUCAAGGAAGGUGCCAGGAUCCACCACUAAUAAAUUAAAAAAUUAUUAGAUCAAACUCUUGAUAUAGCUAACAGCUGAUCUAGCCAAUUAUAGGCAGCAGGUGGUCUUAGAAGACCCUAAGGAUGGCUAGUUGAGUCAAUAGAGAGGUGUUGUUUAUAUAAAGAGACAAUAGAACUGGAUGAUCACAUCAGGGUUCCCCAGAGAGAUCCUGGUACAAUUAGUUUCAAAAUAAUUUAAGUUGAAGCAGACAGGCAGUAAAAGCAGUCUCUUAAAAAUGUGAUAAGAAACAGAAAAAAAAAGAAAACUGAAUGGUGUAAGCAUCUUUGAUAGCAAUAAUUUAAUUUUAUAACUCAUUUAGCCAAAAUGUUCAUAGGAGACAAUUUCAGAAAGCUCUACUUACAUUAUUACUGAAAUUUAACAGGCUUGCAGAGAAAAAGGUUAAGAAAAGAAAAAAAGUGAAAAAGAAAUAAGGAGAAGGGCGCAUUAUCAAUUAACCAGCAAACAAUUUGCCAGGAAAUUGGCUAUGAUGCAUAAGCCAUAAAGGAAGAUGUCAAUCAGCAUAGAUCAUCUUAAAUUCUGAAAAUUGAUCGGCCAAUGAUAACUCUUCACUAACCAGAUCCAUUAACCUAUAAGACCCAAAUAGAUGGUUAAAACAUUUAAAAACAGUAAUCGCACCAUAGUAUCAAAUACCAGACCAUAUAGUAUACAUAGCUUAAUAUAAUUAAACAUAUAUUACUGAAACAGUUGCCAAAUGUGAUAUCUAGUACAAUAACAGUCUCGAUGAAGGUAAAAAAACAUAACAUAAAUUAGGGGUACAAUCGAACCGAGCUGAGUCAAGUAGCUAGAGGCUCGAGCUCAACUCAAUUCAAAAUACUCAAGCUCGAAACUCAACUCAAGAUCAAUUGAGCCUUAAUAUCCAAGCUCGAACUCAACUUGAUCAAAAAAAAAGGAACACUCAAGAUCGACUCGACUCGAAUAUCAGCCGAGCCAUGCUCAAGCUUGAGUUCGAGCUUGAAUUCGAGCCUUGGUGAUAAUUAAAAAAUAUUGUUAAAAUUUAGGAGUUAGGUCAGAUUAAAAAAAUAAAAUAUUAUAUUUUCAAAUAUUAAUUACUAAUAAUGAGUCGAGUUAUUUUGUGACUCAAGCCUGACUCGAAAAACUAGUUGAGCUACUCGAGCUCGGUAAUAGUCGAGUCGAGCCAAGCUUGGACCCAAGUCGAGCUGCUCGGCUCAUUUAUACCCCACCAUAGGUUAGGAAGACCAUUGGCUGCCAAGAA
rnacentral:lncRNA from 1 species